rnacentral:rRNA from 1 species
UACGUAGGGGGCGAGCGUUGUCCGGAUUUACUGGGCGUAAAGCGUGCGUAGACGGUUAUGUAAGUCAGGUGUGAAAGCCCCGGGCUCAACCUGGGAAUUGCAUUUGAGACUGCAUAGCUAGGGUGCGGAAGAGGGAAGCGGAAUUUCCGGUGUAGCGGUGAAAUGCGUAGAUAUCGGAAGGAACACCAGUGGCGAAAGCGGCUUCCUGGUCCAGCACCGACGUUCAGGCACGAAAGCGUGGGGAG